GACAUCACUCGCAGAAGAAGCACCGGCUAACUCCGUGCCAGCAGCCGCGGUAAUACGGAGGGUGCAAGCGUUAAUCGGAAUUACUGGGCGUAAAGCGCGCGUAGGUGGCUUGAUAAGCCGGUUGUGAAAGCCCCGGGCUCAACCUGGGAACGGCAUCCGGAACUGUCAGGCUAGAGUGCAGGAGAGGAAGGUAGAAUUCCCGGUGUAGCGGUGAAAUGCGUAGAGAUCGGGAGGAAUACCAGUGGCGAAGGCGGCCUUCUGGACUGACACUGACACUGAGGUGCGAAAGCGUGGGUAGCAAACAGGAUUAGAUACCCUGGUAGUCCACGCCGUAAACGAUGUCGACCAGCCGUUGGGUGCCUAGCGCACUUUGUGGCGAAGUUAACGCGAUAAGUCGACCGCCUGGGGAGUACGGCCGCAAGGUUAAAACUCAAAUGAAUUGACGGGGGCCCGCACAAGCGGUGGAGCAUGUGGUUUAAUUCGAUGCAACGCGAAGAACCUUACCUACCCUUGACAUCCUGCGAACCCGGAAGAGAUUCCGGGGUGCCUUCGGGAACGCAGAGACAGGUGCUGCAUGGCUGUCGUCAGCUCGUGUUGUGAAAUGUUGGGUUAAGUCCCGUAACGAGCGCAACCCUUGUCCUUAUUUGCCAGCGAGUAAUGUCGGGAACUCUAAGGAGACUGCCGGUGACAAACCGGAGGAAGGUGGGGACGACGUCAAGUCAUCAUGGCCCUUACGGGUAGGGCUACACACGUGCUACAAUGGCCGGUACAAAGGGCUGCGAGCUCGCGAGAGUCAGCGAAUCCCUUAAAGCCGGUCUCAGUCCGGAUCGGAGUCUGCAACUCGACUCCGUGAAGUCGGAAUCGCUAGUAAUCGUGAAUCAGAAUGUCACGGUGAAUACGUUCCCGGGCCUUGUACACACCGCCCGUCACACCAUGGGAGUGGACUGCACCAGAAGUGGUUAGCCUAACGCAAGAGGGCGAUCACCACGGUGGUCAGGCA
rnacentral:rRNA from 1 species